GAGCAAUCUAAUGUGGCGUGGUCGCCGA
rnacentral:piRNA from 1 species